rnacentral:rRNA from 1 species
CAGUCGGGAAUUUUGGGCAAUGGGCGAAAGCCUGACCCAGCAACGCCGCGUGAAGGAUGAAGUAUUUCGGUAUGUAAACUUCGAAAGAAUGGGAAGAAUAAAUGACGGUACCAUUUAUAAGCUCCGGCUAACUACGUGCCAGCAGCCGCGGUAAUACGUAGGGAGCAAGCGUUGUUCGGAUUUACUGGGCGUAAAGGGCGCGUAGGCGGCGCGGUAAGUCACUUGUGAAAUCUCUGAGCUUAACUCAGAACGGCCAAGUGAUACUGCAGUGCUAGAGUGUAGAAGGGGCAAUCGGAAUUCUUGGUGUAGCGGUGAAAUGCGUAGAUAUCAAGAGGAACACCUGAGGUGAAGACGGGUUGCUGGUCUAACACUGACGCUGAUGCGCGAAAGCCAGGGGAGCAAACGGGAUUAGA